GCCCUAGUAGCACAAUCGGUUAGUGCGCCGUGCUUAUAUGAGCGUUCCUCAUAUAUAUAACGCACAGUGACGCGGAGGUUGCGGGUUCGAGCCCCGCCUAGAGCA